AGAGGAGCCCGUACUUGGCUUUUUAGGGUUUCACCUAAUAGCCGUCACACCUCUUUCUCUCUCAUCAGUCCCUCUCUCCCUCUCUCUCUCCUCCCCUCUCCUCCCCGUCAUUCACCAGCCUCUUUCUCUUCUCCUCCAUCAAUUUGAGUUUUCAAAACACUUGUGCUAUUUCUCUCCUCCUCCGUCCUCCUACCCCUUGUUCCUCCUCUCUUUUUAAGCUCUUAUAGAGAAAUUAUGGUUGAUGGGUAUGUGAAAAAGUGUUCGAAGAUUUUAUUACGGGCGGUGCAUAGUGCGAAGAAAAAGAAAUCAGUGUUAAUUUGUCGUUUCUCUUAUAGUAAAUUCUAGAUAUUGGAUCUAAAUAGCGGCGAAUUGUCAAAAACUACUGAAGAACAAUUAUCAUAAUUUGGGAUAGCUUUGCCUAAAACUUCAACCAUUUUAGAUCGUGAGAUGAGCAAUCAAAGAUCUCAUCGGCUGAUAAAGCCUUAGUGAGAGAAAAUAUCCUUGUGUUUGUGGUUCAAGUUCUACCGCUUUUGAGGGUGCAGUUGGGCGAGUGCCUCAAAACAAUUAUCCAUGUUGAUUACCCUGAGCAGUGGCCUGGCCUUCUUCACUGGGUGAAGCAUAAUUUGCAAGAUCAACAGGUCUAUGGUGCUCUGUUUGUUUUGCGGAUUCUCGCUAGAAAAUAUGAGUAAGUACAUGAUUGCUGAUUAUGUAUGGUAUA